rnacentral:rRNA from 1 species
AGUGGAUGGGGAGCAACCUAGUUGUGCGUGUGUAAAGGUAGUGCCAAGAAAAGCGAUGAUCAUGUUGAAAAUCAAUUCCCGGUACCCGAAACCGACACAGGUGGGCAAGUAGAGAAUACUAAGGGGCGCGAGGUAACUCUCUCCAAGGAACUCGGCAAAAUGACCCCGUAACUUAGGGAGAAGGGGUGCCACCGAGAGGUGGUCGCAGUGAAGAGGCCCAGGCGACUGUUUAGCAAAAACAUAGGUCUCUGCAAACUCGAAAGAGGAGGUAUAGGGGCUGACGCCUGCCCAGUGCCGGAAGGUUAAAGAAGUUGGUCAGUCUUAGGAUGAGGCUAGCGACUGAAGCCCCGGUGAACGGCGGCCGUAACUAUAACGGUCCUAAGGUAGCGAAAUUCCUUGUCGGGUAAGUUCCGACCCGCACGAAAGGCGUAACGAUCUGGGCGCUGUCUCGGAGAGAGGCUCGGCGAAAUAGGAUUGUCUGUGAAGAUACGGACUACCUGCAUUUGGACAGAAAGACCCUAUGAAGCUUUACUAUAGCUUGGAAUUGUGUUCGGGCUUCCUGUGCGCAGGAUAGGUGGGAGGCGUAGAAGGUAUUCUUGUGGGGAUACUGGAGCCAACGGUGAGAUACCACUCUCAGGAGGCUAGAAUUCUAACUUAAUUAAGGACAGUUUCAGGUGGGUAGUUUGACCGGGGCGGUCGCCUCCAAAAAGGUAACGGAGGCGUACAAAGGCUCCCUCAGACUGGUUGGAAAUCAGUCGAAGAGUGCAAAGGCAGAAGGGAGCUUGACUGCGAGAAGUACAGUUCGAGCAGGGUGGAAACACGGUCUUAGUGAUCCGACGGUGCUGUGUGGAAGGGCCGUCGCUCAACGGAUAAAAGUUACUCUAGGAUAACAGGCUGAUCUCCCCCAAGAGUUCACAUCGACGGGGAGGUUUGGCACCUCGAUGUCGGCUCAUCGCAACCUGGGGCGGAAGUACGUCCCAAGGGUUGGGCUGUUCGCCCAUUAAAGCGGUACGUGAGCUGGGUUCAGAACGUCGUGAGACAGUUCGGUCCAUAUCCGAUGUAGGCGUGAGAAUAUUGAGAGGAGCCUUCCUUAGUACGAGAGGACCGGGAAGGACGCACCGCUGGUGUACCUGUUAUGAUGCCAAUUGUAAACGCAGGGUAGCCAAGUGCGGAGAGGAUAACCGCUGAAAGCAUCUAAGUGGGAAGCCCACCUCAAGAUGAGUAUUCUGGUGUAAGGUCACGGGAAGACGACCCGUAAAUAGGCACGAGGUGGAAGUGCAGAGAUGUAUGAAGCCGAAGUGUACUAAUAGACCGUCGGCUUGACCU